UGUGGUGUAGCUCAACUGGAUAGAGCGCCCUCAGCAGAGGGAGGUGAGCACUAAUCAAGGUUCAUAACCCAGAUUAUCUUACGCGGUCCGGCCGGACGAUAUGCAGGUUCGAACCCUGCCACCACAU
rnacentral:tRNA from 1 species